AGAGUGAUGUAGUUUUGUUCCAUAUUCAAGACAGCUUUACUACAAUAGCCAGUUGUGCAGCUUGAUACCAACCUGUCGUGUUGCUGGCGUAAAGAUUCCACCACGCUGAUCGUGUCUGCUGGCAGCUCAUUGGCGGCAGGCGUUGACCUCACUUCCUGGUGUAGGUCAUGAACUUUCACACCCAAAUCCUCCAGCGACUUCUCACAGUUCUGACACGAGGGGACAACAACAUCAUGUCAGCGCCUGGUCCAGAGAGCGGAGCUCCCACUGCAGGGCGGCGGCUCUCUCCUUCAGCUCCCGGCCCCUGCGGGCUGACUGGCUCUCCAGCUCCUCCAGCCGGGCCUCGCAGGCCGCCAGACGCUCCCUCACCUCCUGCUCCGAGGCAGCACACAGGUCGUGCAGUUGCCUGACCUCCAGAGUCGUGUUCGCACAAUCUCUGCGCUCGUCUCCUGAGCUGCUGGAGUUUGGCGUCUCCUUCGGGCUUGGAGCUCAUGAUGUCCUGGAUGACAUAAAGAAUGUUGAACAUGAUCUGCAAAAAUCUGGGUUCCAUGAAACAGACUUCUGGCCACAAGGGGGCAGAGGAAAUCAGAAAAACAAGCCAAUUUGUUCACAGCAGGACACUGACACUGUUAACAACUUCAACUUCAUUUAGGUUUCUCCUAAAGUUGUGAUUGUAUUAAAAAUUAAAGUCUAAUAUUCACAUUUCUUAACUGGGGUCCACCAGCUGUUAUAUUCCUUAUUCUUUCAUAUUUUUGCGAUUCUUAUAUUUUUAUAUUUUGUAUGACUAAUACCUGCUGCUGUAACACAUUGCCCAGUUUGGGAUCAAUAAAGUACACCUACCUAACUACCUA